rnacentral:lncRNA from 1 species
UGGAUUAGCUGUCCUGCAAGGUCAGGAGCGCAUUGCCGGAUCACUCUAUUAUUUCGCUGCGCCACAGCUACCCAGCUAACGCCUUUUUCAUGAUAUUUUGAACAUCCACACAGAAAAAACCAAGUGAGUGGACGAGAGAUACAAAUGGAUCGUUUGGUGGAGAAAUCCGUCUUCGUCACCGCCGCCAGGCUGGGAUUAAUGCGACUGAAGGCUCCUCCAGGCUCCGCCAGGGAGACGGCUCGGGAAAGCAAGAGAAAUUGGUAUUGUGCCAGGCUCUGCAGAUGCAACAAGACAGACAAGGUCCCAGCCCUUGUGGAAGUUCUGCCCAGAAGGAAGAGAUCACUACUGUUGGAGGCAACAGGAUGACCCAGGGGGAGAGUGUGGACAAAGUAGAAAGAUCGUAAAGGGGGAAGUUUGUUUAUUAAUCCCUGAUGCUGGUUUCCUUCAAUGGAGAUAAACAGCAGGAGAAUGUUUUCCUCUGCCCUAUUAACAGGACAAUUUAAAUACUGAAUCAGGCCGAGCACCGUGGGUCACGCCUGUAAUCCCAGCACUUUGGAAGGCCAAGGCGCAUGGAUCACCUGAGGUCAGGAGUUCAAGAGCAGCCUGGCCAACAUGGCAAAACUCUGUCUGUACUAAAAAUACAAAAAUUAGCUGGGCAUGGUGGUGCAUGCCUAUAAUCCCAGCUACUGGGGAGGCUGAGGCAUGAGAAUCGCUUCAACCUAGAAGGCAGAGGUUGCAGUGAGCUGAGAUAGUGCCAUUGCACUCCAGCCUGGGCGACAGAGCGAGAGU